CCUACGGGAGGCAGCAGUGAGGAAUAUUGGUCAAUGGGCGGGAGUCUGAACCAGCCAAGCCGCGUGAGGGAUGAAGGCACAAUGUAUUGUAAACUUCUUUUGUCAGGGAAUAAAGCGGGGCACUAGUGCCUUUUUGCGGGUACUUUAUGAAUAAGGAUCGGCUAACUCCGUGCCAGCAGCCGCGGUAAUACGGAGGAUCCGAGCGUUAUCCGGAUUUAUUGGGUUUAAAGGGAGCGUAGAGGGGUUGUUAAGUCAGUGGUGAAAGUUUGCGGCUCAACCCGAAAAUUGCCGUUGAUACUGGCAGUCUUGAGUAGAGGUGAGGUACGCGGAAUGCGCGGUGUAGCGGUGAAAUGCUUAGAUAUCGCGCAGAACCCCGAUUGCGAAGGCAGCGUACUAA
rnacentral:rRNA from 1 species